UACGUAGGGGGCAAGCGUUGUCCGGAUUUAUUGGGCGUAAAGAGCGUGUAGGCGGCCAGGUAGGUCCGUUGUGAAAACUCGAGGCUCAACCUCGAGACGUCGGCGGAAACCCUCUGGCUAGAGUCCGGAAGAGGAGAGUGGAAUUCCUGGUGUAGCGGUGAAAUGCGCAGAUAUCAGGAGGAACACCAGCAGCGAAGGCGGCGCUCUGGGCUGGAACUGACGCUGAGGAGCGAAAGCGUGGGUAGCAAACAGG
rnacentral:rRNA from 1 species